rnacentral:rRNA from 2 species
CAACUCUCUAGAUACAGCUGACUUAUUAUUUUUGCAUGAAAGUAAUAUAAAAGGAAGCGUUUGCUUCGCUAAAAGAUCGGAGUGCGCAACAUUAGCUAGUUGGUGAGGUAACGGCCCACCAAGGCGAUGAUGUUUAGCGGGGUUGAGAGAUUGAUCCGCCACACUGGGACUGAGAUACGGCCCAGACUCCUACGGGAGGCAGCAGUAGGGAAUAUUCCACAAUGGACGAAAGUCUGAUGGAGCGACACAGCGUGCAGGAUGAAGGCCCUAUGGGUUGUAAACUGCUGUGGUUAGGGAAGAAAAAGUAGCAUAGGAAAUGAUGCUACCUUGACGG